UGCGUGCUCUGGUGCCAUCCUGUCCUUAUAAAAGUGAAAAAAUUGUUAAUUUAACUACUUUAAAGUUGACAGAUGUGAAAUACGAAUAGCGCUUUUUCGUCCCAGGCCAUAUGGUGUGGUAUCUGUGUACUUUUUUGAUACGUAAACCCCACAGUUUGUCAGUUAAAAACGUCUGAAGGUACCCGCGCAGACAGACACGCAGACUCACACGCAGACACACGGACGGACAGACGAAAAAUUACUUUUAUAGGGUUCAAUAAUAUAAAAAAGAGAGCAGCUGCAGAACCUCUCUACCCUUCGUGUCACAGUGGCACGACGAGCCAGCUGCUGCGGAUGCUCCAGCCGGGGCGGACUCACGUGUAGAAGGUGGUCCAGCCGUUCUCGUCGCUCCUGGUGGCCAGCAGGCCGGAGCUGCCGUGGUGCAACCCCUCCUCGCUGAACACGUACACCUCCUGGUCGGCGGGCGACGCGAUCUCGUACUUGCCGUCGGCGACCGUCGCGGGGCGGUUCUGCCUGACGGCGCGGAUGCGGAUGUUGCCCAGAGCACGCCGGCGUGGGACACGGCGAGGGCCGUCGGGGCCUGCAGCGUCGCGUGGCGAGCCACACGGAUCGGCCACGGCUGCUCGGUCGAGUGGAACGGGCAGUGAACGGGGCGGCCCACGACCACGCGGACCUG